rnacentral:tRNA from 1 species
GCCGAGAUAGCCUAGCUUGGAACGGCGCGAGCUUGGAGAGCUCGUGGUGCUCUGCACCACAGGGGUUCGAAUCCCCUUCUCGGCG